GUGAGCUACCACCGCUUGGCAUAAAAUGCUAAUUUUUUAAAUCAAUUUUUUUUUUUUUUUUUGGUUUUUCGAGACAGGGUUUCUCUGUGUAGCCCUGGCUGUCCUGGAGCUCACUUUGUAGACCAGGCUGGCCUCGAACUCAGAAAUCCGCCUGCCAUGCCUCCCGAGUGCUGGGAUUAAAGGCGUGCGCCACCAUGCCCGGCUUUAAAUCAAUUUUUAAGUGUAUGUUAUAUUUUAUAAAUUUAAAAGUCAUAUUCUCUGCUAAAUGUGGUGAUGCCUUUGGUACCAAUACCUGAAAGACAGAGGCAGGCAGAUGUCUGAGUUUGAGGCCAACCUGAUCUAUGUAGUGAAUUCUGAGACAACCAGGGAUACACCAAGAAACUCCUGGUCUUGAAAAAUCAAAACAAAAACAACAACAACAAAAAAAUUAUGUCCUAUGUUCAGUUAUAUAGUGCUUGCCUAGUGUGCACAGGGAACUAAAUUUGAUCCCCAGCACUUAGAACUGACAUAUGUUAUUCUGAGAAGUGGUUAACACAGCAGGUUUUAUUAGAUUGCAAAGGGUGUCAGGGCACAUAAACACAUAAAUGUAAGAACCAUGCUCUAGAACCCAUCCACAGACUCCUAGUCCUUGUUAGUUAUGAUGUAUAUAAAAGCAUGCCAUACAGUUCAUUUUUUCCUCUACUCUAUUAAAAAUAUGGAUCACAUUCAAUGUUCUUCAUAUCAGACUUCUCUAUUUUCUAUUAUUUUCUUUUGUGCUGACUAUACAGGAGGCAGUCUUUAUGUAGCAUCAAAGUUCUUCAUGGUUAUUUUUUUUUCUCUAAAAAAUAAAAAAAAUUGUAUCACGAUGAACAGCUGAAUCUUGAAUUUAUACAGCUGAAUUCUUAACCUAAUGGGUGUUACCUAAAGCAUCACAUUGAAUGGCUCCUCCUUAAUGUGUUAAUUGGCAUAUCUACCUGGAAUGCUGGACGCUGGUGUUCAGUUUCCCAAGAGUGAAAUUGUAUGGUUUUGCAGGGUAUUGUGGUGUACACUUAAGUUGGAGGUAGAAGCAGGAGGAUCACUGCAGUUUUGAAGUCGGUUUAUCUAGCAAGUUCCAGGUUAGCCAGACAGUACACUCUGACUCAAAAACCAGCCACCACCCUCAAAACAAAUGAAAAAGCAAUAAAAAUCUUACCGAAAACUUUAGGUUUCUUUAUAAAAUACAUUUCUGUAACCUGGCUGUGGUAGCACACAGCUAAAAUCCCAGCUCUGACAGAAAGCAGGAGAACCAGGAAUUCAAGGUUAUCUACUGAGAGCCAGUAAUAGUUUAGAAUGUGGUAGUAUAGUAUUUAGGGUCUGGUGAUACACCUCAGUUGGUAGAGCGCUUAUCUACCAUAUAUAAAGUCUUGGAUUUGACCCAUAUUAACACAUAGGACAGGUGUGGUGACACACACCUCUAAUCCCAGGAUUCAGGAGAUGGCAGCAGGUGGACUAAAAGUUCACGGUCACUGAGUUCAGUGCCAGCUUGCCCAAAUUAAAAGACUUGGGUUUAAUAACUGGUUGUGGCAGUGAGUGCCUGUAAUUUCCAGCUCCUGGGAAACUGAGGCUGGAAGAUUGCUUGGAGUUGGAGGCCAGCUUGGAUUAGAAAAUGAGUUCAAGGGGCUGGAGAGAUGGCUCAGCGGUUAAGAGCUCUGGGCUGUUCUUCCAGAUGUCCUGAGUUCCAUUCCCAGCAACCACAUGGUGGCUCACAACCAUCUGCAAUGGGAUCCAGUGCCCUCUUUAGGUGUGUCUGAAGACAGCUAUAGUGUACUCAUAUACAUAAAAUAAAUGAAUAAAUGUUAAAGAAAAGG
rnacentral:lncRNA from 1 species